rnacentral:tRNA from 1 species
UCAGGGCUGGCUGAGUUAGCCAAGCAUCUCACUUACACCGAGAAGACAUCCA